rnacentral:piRNA from 1 species
UCCUUUUGGCUUUUCUGCUCUAUGGGCC